rnacentral:tRNA from 1 species
GAGAUAAUUCUUAUGAACUGCUAAUUCAUAUUUUCCGUACAUAAAUCUACGGUUAUCUUG